rnacentral:rRNA from 1 species
UACGUAGGGUGCAAGCGUUGUCCGGAAUUAUUGGGCGUAAAGAGCUCGUAGGCGGUUUGUCGCGUCUGCUGUGAAAACUCAGGGCUUAACUCUGAGCUUGCAGUGGAUACUGUCGGGCUAGAGUGCGGAAGAGGCGAGUGGAAUUCCUGGUGUAGCGGUGAAAUGCGCAGAUAUCAGGAGGAACACCAGCGGCGAAGGCGCUGCUCUGGGCCGGUACUGACGCUGAGGAGCGAAAGCGUGGGGAGCGAACAGG